GACGAACGCUGGCGGCGUGCCUAAUACAUGCAAGUUGAGCGCUGAAGGUUGGUACUUGUACCAACUGGGUGAGCAGCGAACGGGUGAGUAACGCGUGGGGAAUCUGCCUUUGAGCGGGGGACAACAUUUGGAAACGAAUGCUAAUACCGCAUAAAAACUUUAAACACAAGUUUUAAGUUUGAAAGAUGCAAUUGCAUCACUCAAAGAUGAUCCCGCGUUGUAUUAGCUAGUUGGUGAGGUAAAGGCUCACCAAGGCGAUGAUACAUAGCCGACCUGAGAGGGUGAUCGGCCACAUUGGGACGGAGACACGGCACAAACGCCUACGGGAGGCAGCAGUAGGGAAUCGUCGGCAAGGGACGAAAGUCUGACCGAGCAACGCCGCGGGAGGGAAGAAGGGUGUCGGAUCGUAAAACUCGGUUGGUAGAGAAGAACGUUGGUGAGAGUGGAAAGCUCAUCAAGUGACGGUAACUACCCAGAAAGGGACGGCUAACUACGUG
rnacentral:rRNA from 1 species